GAGUUUGAUCAUGGCUCAGAUUGAACGCUGGCGGCAUGCCUUACACAUGCAAGUCGAACGGCAGCACGGGAGCUUGCUCCUGGUGGCGAGUGGCGAACGGGUGAGUAAUGCAUCGGAACGUAUCCUGGAGUGGGGGAUAACGUAGCGAAAGUUACGCUAAUACCGCAUAUUCUGUGAGCAGGAAAGCGGGGGACCUUCGGGCCUCGCGCUCUUGGAGCGGCCGAUGUCGGAUUAGCUAGUUGGUGAGGUAAAGGCUCACCAAGGCGACGAUCCGUAGCAGGUCUGAGAGGAUGAUCUGCCACACUGGAACUGAGACACGGUCCAGACUCCUACGGGAGGCAGCAGUGGGGAAUUUUGGACAAUGGGGGCAACCCUGAUCCAGCCAUGCCGCGUGAGUGAAGAAGGCUUUCGGGUUGUUAAAGCUCUUUCGCGAGGGAGAAAUUGCACCGGACAAUACCUGGUGUAGAUGACGGUA
rnacentral:rRNA from 1 species